GGAUAGCUCAGUUGGUUAGAGCGUGGCGCUGAUAAUGCCAAGGCCUCAGGUUCAAUCCCAGUAAGGAACG